ACAUGAUCUGAGUUUCAAACCGGUGUGAGCCAGGUUGGUUUCUAUCUCAAAUUAGUUAAUAUAUUUUAGUACGAAAGGACCAAGUAUAAAAUUAAUAAUUUAAAUUUUGAAGUUUAUUAGUUAUUUUGGCAGAUUAGUGCAUUAGAUUUAGAAUCUAAAAAUGUAAAUUUUACAAAUAAUACUUGUUUAAAGAUACUUUUAUAGUUUUAGUUUCAAGAUUAAUUUUAUUUUUAAGAGUAAUAAUUAGAGUGGCUUUUUUAACUUUAUUAGAACGAAAAGUUUUAGGAUAUAUUCAAAUUCGUAAGGGACCA
rnacentral:rRNA from 1 species